GUGCUCACUUUGGUAGCACACAUACUAAAAUUGGAAUGAUACAAAGAAGAUUAGCAUGGCCCCAGUACAAGGAUGACAUGCAAAUUUGUGAAGCAUUCCAUAUUUUU